AGUGACUCAGCAAGCCUGGGUCUUGGGGAAAUUACGAAUACCUGGUUGAAGGGCAGUCCUCAGGCAGAGCCCCUGAGACCCGUUGAACUCUAGAGUGUGGGAGCAGAGGAGAUUCAGGGCCUGCCCAGGGGCAGAGUGCCCCCAGGACUCGCCCUGGCUCAGUUAAGGACUCCCCUCAGGAUCUGCAGAGGUGCAAGGCAGGGUGCAGCUCUGCCUGGACUGAGCUGGAAAUGCAGCCGUGUGGCUGAAGUGGCCACUUCCUGCUUUCUGUAAAGCAGCCACGGGGACCUGUGAACAGAUGCACACCUGUCCUGAAGACACCCGGUUCUCAUGCUCUUCUCUGCAGCACCUGAAUUGGGCAUUCCUGGGUAAAGCUGUUUAAGUUACUUUCACUUUUAUCCACUUGUUUCCGUUAUUUCAACCAUGCAUGUCCCUUGUGUAUGUAGGAUAAAGGUGUCUAAGAAUAAAGGUCCAUGAUUUAAA